CCUGGGGGUCACCGUAAAGGUGGAGCAGCAUUCCCCUAAGCACAGACGUUGGGGCCACUGACUGGCUUUGGGACAACUCGGGGCGCAUUAACGGUGAAUAAAAUCUUUCCCGGUUGCAGCCAUGAAUAAUCAAGGUGAGAGACCAGUUAGAGCGGUUCAGUGCGGAAAACGGGAAAGCAAAAGCCCCUCUGAAUGCUGCGCACCGAGAUUCUCCCAAGGCAAGGGGAGGGGCUGCAUUGCAGGGUCCACUUGCAGCGUCGGAACGCAAAUGCAGCAUUCCUAAUGCACACAUGAUACCCAAAAUAUAACACCCACAUUCCUCAUGGGGUGAGGGUGAGGGUGAGGGUGAGGGUUGG
rnacentral:lncRNA from 10 species